rnacentral:rRNA from 1 species
GACGAACGCUGGCGGCGUGCUUAACACAUGCAAGUCGAACGAAGAGCGAUGGAAGCUUGCUUCUAUCAAUCUUAGUGGCGAACGGGUGAGUAACGCGUAAUCAACCUGCCCUUCAGAGGGGGACAACAGUUGGAAACGACUGCUAAUACCGCAUACGAUCUAAUCUCGGCAUCGAGGAUAGAUGAAAGGUGGCCUCUACAUGUAAGCUAUCACUGAAGGAGGGGAUUGCGUCUGAUUAGCUAGUUGGAGGGGUAACGGCCCACCAAGGCGAUGAUCAGUAGCCGGUCUGAGAGGAUGAACGGCCACAUUGGGACUGAGACACGGCCCAGACUCCUACGGGAGGCAGCAGUGGGGAAUCUUCCGCAAUGGACGAAAGUCUGACGGAGCAACGCCGCGUGAGUGAUGACGGCCUUCGGGUUGUAAAGCUCUGUUAAUCGGGACGAAAGGCCUUCUUGCGAAUAGUUAGAAGG